UCCUUGGAGGUCCAGUGGUUAGGACUCUGCACUUCCACUGCAAGGGCAGGGGUUCAACUCCUGGUCAGGGAA
rnacentral:tRNA from 1 species